rnacentral:lncRNA from 1 species
GUAGAACUUUUUGCAAAACUGAUAAAAGCAACCAGUCAACAAGAAUGUACUAAACCUCCUUCAGCAUUGACUACUUAGUCAAAGGCUGGGGAGGUUUGGGGCAUGUCUGUGAAACUCACCCAUGCCAUCUGGAAAGGAAAAAGUUAAGUUGCAUUUCUGCAAUACAUUCUCUCCCUUCCCUGAGCUGCUCCUGGAAUAUAAAGAAAGCAAGGAAAUAUUUACUGGGCCUUCAGCUUUCUGUACUACUUCGGAACAGCACUAGCAUCUAUCUCAGGGUUUAAAAUAUGGAAGUUCUUGCCUUCCUUGAAUCUUUUCUCCCAGAAAUAACAUAUUGGCUCUCUUCCCUGUGACAUGCCUCAUCUGACAUUGGCUGGCUUUCAUAUAAAACCUUUGUUUUAGCCUACUAUCAAUUCAACUUUUACAUUGACAAAACGUAAUUUUUGGUUGUCAAUGUAAAAGUUGACAUUUUUACAUUCAACUUUAAUUUAAAUGCUGAAUUUAAAUUUAAAUGCUGAAAAUUUAUUUAAACACUUAAAAUGAUAUUAGAAGAGGUAUUUUAUGUUUUUAAACAGAGAUAUAUUUCAUUUUUAUAUGCAGUCAACAGAUCACAUGUGUAUGUCUCUUAUGUGUUCCUGUGUGGGAAUAGCUUGAAUUACUACAUAAGUUCUCUGAGAAUAUUAAGUUCAUUUAGGGGAACAGGACAUAUCUAUAUGAAAAAC